rnacentral:lncRNA from 1 species
UUUCUUAAAUUUUUUUAUAAGGUUUAGCUGACGAAACAUACUAUAUUUCUUCGGUUAUAGUCUGGGAAAAAAAAUUUUAUUAUAGACUUUAGCCGACGAAUAUCUUAAUUGUUUCGUCGGCUAAAGUCUGUAAUAAAAACCGACGACAUGUUUUUCGUCGGCUAAACUGCGGGACUAUAGCCAAUGAAAUUUUUUUUUUCGUCGGCUAAAGUCAUCACAGACGACUUUUUCCCGACGAAAUCUUAGCCAACGAAUUAAGCUAACAGGCCAACGAAAAUUUUUCGUCGGCUAAAGUGCUUGUCCUGGUAGUGGCGACGCAUAGUUUGCUUAGUCAAAUAGGCGCAACCUCUUAGUGGCAGGAUGAAACUAAAUGUACGUUGUCGGCUUUAUUUUCCUGCGGCAACAUAUAUAGUAAGAAAGCUGCAAUAUUAGACAUUAGGAUAUGUGAUCGAUCGUGUUACGUAUCUAGCUAUCUUUUCAUUAUGUCACCGAUGUGACAAAGCAAAUAGAGUCGUCAUUAGAACAACUUUACGUUUUGAUUGCUUGGCCUUAGGUUGUAAUAGAGGGGUUCCUUGUAGUUGUUAUUUUGUAAUCAAAAAAAGAAAAGAAAAGAGAACUCGAUCAGAAAAACUAGUUGAAGGGAAAGGAAGGUGAGAUCCACGAACUAGCUAAUGUGGUAGCUCACAGGUUUGCCAAUUUUGGAUAUGAAAAUAAUGGUUCACUACAACUCCUGAGUUUGUUCAGGAUGCCCUCAUGUAUGAUAUUCAUACUCAUUCAUAAAUUUAUUUCUUACAAAAAAAAAAAAAAGUGAGAUCCACGAAACACUAAUAAAGACCGGCACCCAAAGGGUGUUCACUCCCUUGUUGCAGCUCUUGGUCAUAUUCUACUAUCAAUGUACGUUUGAAAACAUAUGUAAUAUCAUUUAAUUCAUGAGUCACUCUGAGCUUUGUCAUGAAUGAAAUCACUAAAAAAAAACAAACUUGCCUUCAUUCGGAUGAAGAAUAUGUACUGUAUAUAGAUGAUGUCCGAGAAGAUCCAAGGAACCUAAACUUGGAAUUGUUGUCAAUUGAUAUUAGAGUGGCGUAUGCAACGAGAAAUUUUUCAGUGCUCCCGAAGGACCACGUGACAGUCUGACGUGGUCCUCCAUUCCAUUCAAAUUUUGACAUGUGGAUUUUCAUGAUGAAAAACUAUUUUAGCGAUUUUGUCAAAGAUCAUUUUGAGUUUCUUGUUGAUUUUUUAAAUCCUAAACCCUAAACCCUAAACCCUAAACCCUAAACCCUAAACCCUAAACCCUAAACCCUAUACCCUAAACCUUAUACCCUAACCAUAUACCCUAUACCCUAACCCCUAAAUCUUAUACCCUAAACCCUAGGCCAAACUCAUAAAAGACCCGUAACGGUCAUUUCACAAAAUAUAGAAAACCUUAGUUUAUAUUUUAGUUGUAAUAAAUCUACGUGUUAAAAUUUAAUUGGUAAGGGAGGACCACGUCAGACUAUCACGUAGUCAUUCGGGAGCAUUGAAAAAUUUCUCCGUAUGUUGCAACGAGAAAUUUUUCAGUGUUACGGGAGGACCAUGUGGCAGUCUGACGUGGUCCUGCAUUCCAAUUAAAUUUAGACAUGUGGAUUUUCUUCAUGAAAAAUCAUUUCAGCUAUUUUGUCAAAGACUAGUUUGGGUUUUAUGUUGUUUUUUAAACCCUAAACCCUAAUCCCUAAACCCUUAACCCUUAAACCCUAUACCCUAAACCCUAACCCUAAACCCUAACCCUAAACUCUAAACCCUAAACCCUAGGUUGAACUUGCUAAAUACCCAUGAAUGUC